rnacentral:rRNA from 1 species
ACUCAAAGGAAUUGACGGGGGCCCGCACAAGCAGCGGAGCAUGUUGUUUAAUUCGAAGCAACGCGAAGAACCUUACCAGGGCUUGACAUCCACUGAAUCCUGCAGAGAUGCGGGAGUGCCGCAAGGAACAGUGAGACAGGUGGUGCAUGGUUGUCGUCAGCUCGUGUCGUGAGAUGUUGGGUUAAGUCCCGCAACGAGCGCAACCCUUGUCGUCAGUUACCAGCAAGUAAAGUUGGGGACUCUGACGAGACAGCCGGGGUAACUCGGAGGAAGGUGGGGACGACGUCAAAUCAUCAUGCUCUUUAUGUCCUGGGCUACAAACGUGCUACAAUGGCUACAACAAAGGGAUGCAAUGGCGCAAGCCGGAGCGAAACCGAUAAAAGUAGUCUCAGUUCGGAUUGAGGGCUGCAACCCGCCCUCAUGAAGAUGGAGUUGCUAGUAAUCGCGAAUCAGCACGUCGCGGUGAAUACGUUCCCGGGCCUUGCACACACCGCCCGU